GUGCCAAACGUUUUUGUCUAACCUCACACCUCCGUUUAAUUGUCUUUGUGACCAUUUGACCUUUGACCCUACAAAUGUCACAUACUCCAUUACACAUAAUACGCAUUGCAAAACCUGCAUAACUAUUAACAAGUCAGCCAUAUUCUUGUGAAUCAGAAAUAGCAAAGAACUGUUAGAGACAUGCGUCAUUACUUUAAAAUGGUCAUCAAAGCGAAUUUAGGGGAAGUCCCGAUGACGUCUACCGCAUCUCAUAAGAGGAAGCGGAAGAUGCACCAUGCCUGGGCACCAUGCGUCUAAAAUCAGUUUUGUCAUCUCGAUUUAUAGGAAACAUCCUCACAAAAAUGGCUAUUCUGCUUGGACUUUUUUCUGCUCUCCUGUUUGGUAAGCUUUAUAUAUUUUUAUGCAAAGCCUGUGUGUUUACAUUAAAGAAACAAAGUCAGCUGGUUUCUGUGGGAUUGGGUUUGAAACUCAUAUUAAACAUGGCUGUUUGUUGCAUCAUCGAAAAGUCCAAUACCGGUGUUUGAGACUCAUUAACUGCUUUCUUUUUUUUUUUUUUUACAUUUUAGUGUCUGAAGCCAUAUUUGUGUACAAUGUCAACUCAACCAUCAUGGACUCAGCACUCCUGGGAUGUAGCGUACCAGUUAAAACAGACUUGAAAAAUCUUCGCUUUUACUGGCAGGAUGAAAGGAAGGCUGUUUUGUACUCUUUCAAUAAAGGAAAGACAAUGUUCACGCAUGUAAAAGACCCUUAUCUGAACAGGACCGCGGCCUUCACCCAGGAAAUGACGAAAGGAAAUAUUUCAGUCCUAGUCAAGAAUUUGACUCUUGGAGAUAAUGGGAGGAUAUUUGAAGCUUACGCUGCAGUUUUUAAUGGUUCGGAGACAGUGAUGCAGACCUCAAAAGUUUGCCAUGCAAAUUUGUAUGUAACAGUGCCUUACAAGCACCUCAAGCUGGCUGUAAACACUAAAACAAUGACUUCAGUGUGCACGCUGCAUGGUGUAUUUCCAGCUCCUGAGAUACGCUGGACCAUCCACUACAACCACUCUGAAUCCUUGGUUGAGUCGAAGCAUGUCCACACUAAGACAGAGCAGGAUCCUGAAAACUAUUUGUACACCUCUAGCAGCACUCUCCACAUCCCUGCAGAUCAUUACCGAGCCAUUACCUGUCUGUGCCACAACCCCACUUCAAAUACGACUCUGAACGCCACUUAUACUUUAAGCAAAGGUGCAGCAGUGUGGAGUUUACCUGGCCGGACUGCAGGUCUCAUAGUGGCUGCUGCAGUUCUUCUAACAGCUCUGCAGCAGCUGUAGUUCACACAUGAUGGCCUGGUUUUGGUGGUGGACGACUUCAGCUGGUCUAGGAUAUUCAAAGUACACCAAAGUUUGUGUGACUUUUGAUGUAUUUAUAAGUGUAUUUAUGCCACACUACUCCAGUCUUAUUGCAAGCCCAAAUCAGAGACUUUUGAAAAUGCUGCUUAUCCAGUUUCAGUCUGGCCUGGACGGGAAAACACAGACUGAGUUUCAUGAAUCAGAAAAAUGAAACCAAAAGAUCACACCUAGGAUCAGGUUCCCUGUGUGGUUUCAUCCAUUUCGUGUCAGUAGUUACUUCAGGAUUUCAUAAAAGGAACAAUUGCGCACACAUGUGGGUCAAAAACCUCGAGGUGGAUAAUAAUAGUCCUGCUAGUUUUGUGUUCAGUGAAGGGAGUGCGGGCAGAAGAUGAAAGGAGUAGAGAUUGUGAAGGUGGAUGAGUUUAAAUGUUUGGGCUCGACCUUCCAAAUAGACAGAGCAGACGAGACGUGAAGAAAAGAAACAGAGGAAGACCUCGGAGAUUCAUGGAUGUAGUGAAGGACUGGUGAUGGGGGAGGGUGCUGGGAGUGAUCUGUUUUGAAAAGCAGCAGAAAUCUCCUUUUAAACUUGUUUGGUUUUUUUAGCACUAUGAUUGUGAAGCACUUUGUUAUAUUUAUCUAUAUGAAUAAAAUGUUAUUUUACUUA
ensembl:lncRNA